rnacentral:rRNA from 1 species
GACGAACGCUGGCGGCGUGCUUAACACAUGCAAGUCGAACGAUGAAGCAAAGAAUUGAAGCUUCGGCAGAAAUUCAUUUCGGAUUAGUGGCAGACGGGUGAGUAACGCGUGAGCAACCUACCUCUUACAAAGGGAUAGCCUCGGGAAACCGGGAUUAAUACCAUAUAACAUUGCGACGAAGCAUUUCGAUGCAAUCAAAGCUACGGCGGUAAGAGAUGGGCUCGCGUCCCAUUAACCAGAUGGUGAGGUAACGGCUCACCAUAGUAACGAUGGGUAACCGGCCUGAGAGGGUGAACGGUCACACUGGAACUGAGACACGGUCCAGACUCCUACGGGAGGCAGCAGUGGGGAAUAUUGCACAAUGGAGGGUACUCUGAUGCAGCGACGCCGCGUGAGUGAUGAAGGAAUUCGUUUCGUAAAACUCUGUUCUAUGGGAAGAAAAGGACUGUACCAUAGGAGAAAGCUCCGGCUAAAUACGUG